rnacentral:rRNA from 1 species
GUGCACCAGGCGAGAAACUUUACAAUGUGCGAAAGCACGAUAAGGGAACUCUGAGUGCCUCCUAAGGAGGCUGUUCUGAUGUCUAAAAGCAACAGAAGUAAGGGCUGGGUAAGACCGGUGCCAGCCGCCGCGGUAACACCGGCAGCCCAAGUGGUAGCCACGUUUAUUGGGUCUAAAGCGUUCGUAGCCGGCCAGGUAAGUUCCUUGGUAAAUUUAGCCGCUUAACGGUUAAGCUUUUCAGGGAAUACUGCUUGGCUUGGGACUGGGAGAGGUCAGAGGUACUCCGGGGGUAGGGGUGAAAUCUAUUAAUCCCUGGGGGACCACCGGUAGCGAAGGCGUCUGACCAGACCAGGUCCGACGGUGAGGGACGAAGGCUAGGGGCGCGAACCGGAUUAGAUACCCGUGUAGU